AUUGAACGCUGGCGGCAGGCCUAACACAUGCAAGUCGAACGGAAACAGGAAACAGCUUGCUGUUUCGCUGACGAGUGGCGGACGGGUGAGUAAUGUCUGGGAAACUGCCUGAUGGAGGGGGAUAACUACUGGAAACGGUAGCUAAUACCGCAUAACGUCGCAAGACCAAAGAGGGGGACCCUCGGGCCUCUUGCCAUCGGAUGUGCCCAGAUGGGAUUAGCUUGUUGGUGGGGUAACGGCUCACCAAGGCGACGAUCCCUAGCUGGUCUGAGAGGAUGACCAGCCACACUGGAACUGAGACACGGUCCAGACUCCUACGGGAGGCAGCAGUGGGGAAUAUUGCACAAUGGGCGCAAGCCUGAUGCAGCCAUGCCGCGUGUAUGAAGAAGGCCUUCGGGUUGUAAAGUACUUUCAGCGGGGAGGAAGGGAGUAAAGUUAAUACCUUUGCUCAUUGACGUUACCCGCAGAAGAAGCACCGGCUAACUCCGUG
rnacentral:rRNA from 1 species